UAGGGAAUCUUCCGCAAUGGACGAAAGUCUGACGGAGCGACGCCGCGUGAGCGAAGAAGGUCUUCGGAUCGUAAAGCUCUGUUGUUAGGGAAGAAGAAGUGCCGUUCGAACAGGGCGGCGCGGUGACGGUACCAUAGGAGGAAGCCCCGGCUAACUACGUGCCAGCAGCCGCGGUAAUACGUAGGGGGCGAGCGUUGUCCGGAAUUAUUGGGCGUAAAGCGCGCGCAGGCGGUUCCUUAAGUCUGAUGUGAAAUCUCGCGGCUCAACCGCGAGCGGCCAUUGGAAACUGGGGGACUUGAGUGCAGGAGAGGGGAGCGGAAUUCCACGUGUAGCGGUGAAAUGCGUAGAGAUGUGGAGGAACACCAGUGGCGAAGGCGGCUCUCUAGCCUGUAACUGACGCUGAGGCGCGAAAGCGUGGGGAGCGAACAGG
rnacentral:rRNA from 1 species